GCAAAACUUGGAAUGUUCACCACCAUAAUUAUGCCUUCGUCUGGGGCCCAAAGGCACAGCCAUGGAGGAGCUGAGUUGGAACAAGCCACUGAACCUGUUUCUUCUUCUAUAAACUGGGGAGAAUAAUGCCGACCUGAAGGACCCAGUGACCUCAUUGGGUAAUACAUACAUUGCCCUCACUCUGCUGCACUUAACAGGAGUGGAGGAGUGUGCCCUGCCUUUGUGCCUGCCUCUCUUGCUGCUUGGAACUGAGAUGUGAUGCUGGUGCUCUGGCAGCUGUUCCAGAGAGAGAACAAAUUGGAGACCUGGAAGACGUCCGCAUCACUGAACAAGUUUGCAAGUCACAAUACCAACCUUGCACUUCCUACUUCCAGAAUCCUUUCAUGGGAGAUACACAAACUCCAAUUUAAACCUCAGUGAUUUGGGGGUUUUCUGCUACCUGCUGCUGAACUGAACCCAAUGAACACAGCAAUUCCCAGAGGAAUACAUUCACAUGAUCAACUUGAGAAAAUGUUCUAACCUUUUUAUGAGUAGCUAGAAAAACUUACAUGAAAGAAACCAACAGAUCACUUUAUACCCAAUAGACUGAUUAAAACCAAUAUAAGUGUUAAUAUGCAUUGUGGGUAAAGGUGCAGGGAAAGGGGCUCUCUGAAGAUUGUUACUGAGAUGAGAAUUGUUGUGGUUCUUUUUGGAAAGCAACCUGGCAAC